rnacentral:lncRNA from 1 species
CAAACUCAACAAAAAGCUAUGAAUAUAAAUGCGGAUAUUUCUUAGAAUUGACAGUCAUCCUUUACAAGUUACGGUCAUCUUUUUACUAAUCACGGUCAUCCUUGUUAUAUGUUACGGUCAACUUGAAAAUAUUUUGAUGACGAUUUUUUGUCAUCUUAGCGAUUUUUUUUAAUCAAAUUUCUUGUCUCGUGCACAUUUCUUGUUAGUAAUUUGUGAUUUCCGUGUGAAUCUUUUUUAAAUUUACAUCGUAUCAAUGUAUGAUUUGUAAAGAACGUGAUGUAGAAACACUUUAACAGACAAUACAAAGACUGACCUAUUUUCCGUCCGCCAUCUUGGGAUGACCGUGAAUGCAGUUACGGUCAUCAGCUUUACCCCAGUAAAUAUGUUCUUUAUCAAUACUUGUUUUACUACCUUUAAAUUAUUAAGGCAAGUAUUGAAUGUUAAGAAGAAGCCGCUGAGCCAGCCAACGUACUUUUCUUGUUUUAUUGUUACAGACAAUAAUAUUAUUUCAC